rnacentral:rRNA from 1 species
CCUACGGGUGGCAGCAGUGAGGAAUAUUGGUCAAUGGGCGCUAGCCUGAACCAGCCAAGUAGCGUGAAGGAUGACUGCCCUAUGGGUUGUAAACUUCUUUUAUAUGGGAAUAAAGUGCAGUAUGUAUACUGCUUUGCAUGUACCUUAUGAAUAAGGAUCGGCUAACUCCGUGCCAGCAGCCGCGGUAAUACGGAGGAUCCGAGCGUUAUCCGGAUUUAUUGGGUUUAAAGGGUGCGUAGGCGGUCAGGUAAGUUAGAGGUGAAAGCUCGAUGCUCAACAUCGAAACUGCCUCUGAUACUGUCUGACUAGAGUGUAGUUGCGGAAGGCGGAAUGUGUGGUGUAGCGGUGAAAUGCUUAGAUAUCACACAGAACAUCGAUUGCGAAGGCAGCUUUCCAAGCUAUUACUGACGCUGAGGCACGAAAGCGUGGGGAGCGAACAGGAUUAGAUACCCGUGUAGUC